rnacentral:misc_RNA from 1 species
UUUCCGUAGGUGAACCAGCGGAAGGAUCAUUACAAAAUGUUAUGGGAUGUCCUAACGGGCACCCAAGCAAACACAUCCAGAUUAAACUUUUGAAACAAUUACUAGUCUGAUAAGGCCAUAUGCUGUAAAGAUUUAAAUAUAUUAAAACUUUCAACAACGGAUCUCUUGGCUCUC